AGCAGGGGUGCAGCAGAAGAACAAGCUUUAGUAGCUUGCUGAUGGUGAUAUACAUAUGUAUAUAUGAAGGUACUUCAACUUUGAAAGAAUUCUGCUACCUCUGUUAUAGCAAAGGCAAGGAAAUGUCAACGACAAUGAGAAUUAAACAUAUUGAUCCCACCACUAUGCUGAAGCGGAGGCAUCGAGAUUUAUCUGAAAAAUUCUUAUCACAUGUCACAAUUUAGUUCCAGUCGAGGAGUCGAACAAGCAUGUCGAGAGAAAAAAAAAAACAAAGCCAAGAGGGAUCAGCUGUUAUUUUUCCCAAUGCGGUUGCUCCGACUCCAAAAUUAAUGACACAAAAUGAAAUGUGGAAAGUGAUGCUGUCAACAACACUUGUUGGAUUGGAUUGGAUUGGAUUGAAGACACAAGCCACUGAGAGGUGAGCUCAAAAAAACAAAAACAAGGCAGACCCGAGCCAUAUAGUCGGGUGCAGUGACAAAGAGAGACAGAUGCCCAGUACUUAGUGGAUGCCAUUGAAUUUUGUAUAACGAUAUCUAUAACUGGGCGAAAGGUUUUUCUCGAUUUAAAAAAAUUUCGUUGUACAAUUCUAACGUUUUGCGAGUAUAUGGCGAUCUGACUGCCGCUCGCUAUAAAGAUGUCCGAUAUAGUCAUACCACUUUAUGAGUAUUUAAACUAAGGCAAAAAGGUAUAUAUGUACAUAUACUAUAUAUGUAUAUAUGUAUGUAUGUAUAAUACUCGUGUGUUAAUAGUUGCUAUAGAUUUGUUCUCGUCUACUGAAUUGUUAUAAUGAACAGGACGGGUCGAGGGAAGGCCGUCUGCACCAUCAAUCUGCUAUCUGAGAUGGAGAUGCCAUUCGCAGUGAAAUUGAACAAGCGGCAGUACGACACGGGCACUGGCGAAAUGUCUGGCGUUAAUACGGCUAUUGCUUUGCUCGAUGCUGUUGCUGAAGCUCCCCUUUUCCUUUUCCGGGCGAGUGGCUAAUUGCCCAGUGAAGUGGCAGCUCCGGCUACAACAAAGCCAAACCGAGUUGUGCUCAGUUGGGCCCCUGAUGAUGACGACGACCAUCCACCGCAGCCGCGGCUAAAUUCUCAUUGUAAUUGUCAUCAUCGCAUUGAGUCUUCAUCUUUCACUGGGGGCGCAUCGUAUUGUUACUUAAAUGAUUUCUGUGUUGUUCAUUAUUGCAUCCGCAGUAAAAAUAAUGAAACAACGCAUUUGUUCAUUUCAGCUCACAGAACAAUUUAUAAAAUCCAAGUACAACAGGAGUGGGCGUGGACCUUAUAAUAUGAUAGUUGUGCAUAGAUUGUACUCCAUUUAAGUCAUCUCGAGAACCAUCAGUUGCGAAUUUUCGAUCACAAAGGACAAUUAAAUGAAAAUGAAAAAGAUUUUCAAAUGCAAAGGGUUGAGCCUUUAUAUUUAAGGUAAAUUGGAAAUUGACAUUUACAGUAACAGCUCUUGUAAUCCUUCAUUUGACGCAAACCUAAAUUCAACUGGGCUUAGCUUUGCUAACCACCACCACCUACCUACUAAUCCCUUUUUACACGUUUAUAUCUACAUGUUUUUCUAAACGUAAGUGUUUAUGUACAUACUUGAAUGGUCGAUGGUAUAGGGUCAAGUCAAGCCAAGGCCGAGCAAAACGAACGCAAAGGUUUUCUCCGUCGUCCAUAUACAUUUGUUUAAGGUACAUCCUAAAAACCGCAAUGAUAAUUUCGCCGUCGCGACGUUAGCUUUUUUCAGAUUUCCCGUGGCAGUCAAAGUUAAGGUUCCUCUCCGUCAGAUCUUUACCCGCCUGUCGGAUUGAUGCACAAUUGGUGCUUGUCUGGUCCACCACUUGGUAAUUGGCAGCCAGGCGACCAGACCACCGAUCGAUAACAAUAAAAUUGUUAAAAGCGCAAAAUGCCGCAAAGAGUGUAAUUUGUCGAGCACAUGAACAGGGAGAGGAACGACCCAGGUCCAAAAACCAGGCGUAUUUGAAUUCAUCAAUGGCGUGUUUAAGCAGUUUGUCAGCGACACGUGGCAGAGCGGCUGUUGGCCUUUCGAGUUUGCUGGCAACAGCAGGCGGUGACGGUGACGUUGGCUGUGCUAAAGGAACGAUUACAAACGAGGAAGAGGAUAAGAACGAGGGCCGGGCCGUGUGUCGAUGCUGAUGAUGAUGUAAAACGUCAGUACUAUUCAAAAACAGCCACCACCACAACCCCACCCUCACGACUCACAGCUGGAUACGAGGUGCAGUAAAUAGAGAUUUAAACGCCCAUACUGGCUGGCUGGCCACUUUGCCGCUUGGCGUUGUCAACGCAACGCCACGCCACGGAGCGACAAUGGCUCAGUUGUAAUACCCAUUCGUUCCCACUCAUUGUUAUAAACUAAAUUGCUAAAAUUCGUAUACCGUACAGCACGGCUUGUAAAAAUCAAACGACGCCUUAACUUAAGGGUAUGCUUCUUUGAUUCGUCCUUUGGGAAUCGUCAUUUUUUUCCUCUCACAUUAGUACAUAGUUAACCCUUUAACAUCAAAAACUUACUGAAUCAAUAUUUUUCUUCAAAUUAUCACUUUCUUACUUGCGGUACCCUGAUUGUCGGCGCGGUACAGUUCUAAAUAAGAUAUUUUUAUACAGGGUAUAUUAUAUGUUUUUAAACACUUCAUCUUAGAGAAUUAAAAUUGGAAUUAAAUCAGCUAUUCUGUCACAAUAGCAAAACAUAAUUUAAAAAACACAAAAUAAAUUAAAGAAAUAUAUAAAAAAUAAAUUUAAGAAUAAUUAGCAAAAAACCAAGAUCUAAUUUAAUUUUAUCAAUAUAUUGUAUAUUGUGUCUAUACAAAUCGAAAAGAAUGGUUCCAUUUUUUCAGCAGCUUCCUUUUUAUAUUUCCAUGUAUUAAACAGAAAGCGCUACCGACCCCAUAAAGUAAAUUCUUGAUUAACUAAAGCUGACCCAAUACAGCCAUAUCUGUCUCGUUUGUCGCCUAGCUUUCAGAAACCAUAAGAGGUAGAGCAACCUUUUUGUUCAGACUCCUGUGAUAUCACACUAAAUUUCAAAAUAUUAAUUGGGGGUGGGAAGAGAGAGACAGAGAAGGAUGUAUCGUAAGGUGCGGUAUGAAAAUAGCUAGGGUAAUAUCAUUUAUUAAGUAGACGGGAUAGAUGGAAUGAAAAAAUAUACAUAUUAGAUAAGCUACAUACUUAAAUCAUAAGAUUACAUAUGUAUAUACAAACUGAGUACCGGCUGGAAAACUUUCGCGGGCGCACUCACCGUCAAGACUGCCUAAUUACUUAGUUUGAACAAUUUACCACUCCGACUCGUAAAAUAUAAGGACUCGGCUGACUCUGACUUUCUCUUAGUAAGGGAACGAAUUAAAAUGUAUAAUCUCAUUUCUUAUAUAACUCAAAACUUGACAAGUGUAAGUAUAAACUGAUACGAUUUAUAUCUGAGAAGU